GUGAAUCAUCGAAUUUUUGAACGCAAAUUGCACUCUCUUGUAUUCCGGAGCGUAUUCCUGUUUGAGGCUCAGUUAAAUCAAAAUCGGUGUUGUUGCUGCCUUUCGUGCUUACGCGUCGGAUUUGAGUUAUCUUACCUUCGGUUAAGCGUCUUAAAAUUUUUUCUUUAUUUUCGUACGUAUUUAAAUAGUUUACAUACGUUUGAGAU
rnacentral:misc_RNA from 1 species